ACCGACCCGGCCAGAUGCACCUGAGACUCCGGGUGAGCGAGUGUGCGGCUCAACCUGUCCUUCACCGUCCACAGAGAUGUGGGGUGUUGUGUAGUGUGAGAAGAACGAGACUGCAAGAAAGGCCACAAAUAAUGGUCUGAGGACUCCAAUAUUUCUUACCACCCUGAGAACUCAAGAAUCCAGAAUCAAACACCCUGAAUUCUGUCUAUGGACAGAAUGGACCUCCUGGGGAUCCAUCAAGAG